rnacentral:miRNA from 1 species
CUCAGGGGUGGAAGUAGGAGAA